UCUAGUGACUAUGGCGAGGAUGAUACACCCGUUCCCAUUCCGAACACGGAAGUUAAGCUCCUCAGCGCCGAUGGUACUGCCUGGGCAACUGGGUGGGAGAGUAGGACGUCGCUAGGA
rnacentral:rRNA from 1 species